UCGAAACCCGCAAAGCAGACCCGCGAACAUGUUUAAAUACGCUCGGGUUCGUGACGUCGGAUGCCCAUGCGCCCGACAACACGACCUCGACCCUCGGCGGCGCGAGUCGCUGGGGCUGACUAACCUAUCGGCGCGGCAAGCGCCAAGGAAAACCAAUCGAACACCUUUCCGUCCUGUUGCCGUGCGCGGCACACAGGGCGUGAUGAGGAGCAUCUAUAUAACAUAGAUAUAACGACUCUCGGCAACGGAUAUCUCGGCUCUCGCAUCGAUGAAGAACGUAGCGAAAUGCGAUACUUGGUGUGAAUUGCAGAAUCCCGUGAACCAUCGAGUCUUUGAACGCAAGUUGCGCCCGAAGCCAUCUGGUUGAGGGCACGUCUGCCUGGGCGUCACGCAUCUCGUCGCCCCCCACCAACAUCGUAUUCCCAGCUCGAAGGGUUCGGAGCACGAUGCGUCGGAGGGGUGGAUAUUGGCCUCCCGUUACCCACGCGUAGCGGUCGGCUCAAACAGGACUCCGUGUCGAUGGACGUGACACGAUUCAUGGUGAUUGGACUCAUCAACUAGCAAACCGUCGUGUGACACUGCAUCGAUCCACGGGCAACGACCCAACGGCACGAAAGUGCCCUCGAUUGCG
rnacentral:rRNA from 1 species